AUACGGAGGGUGCGAGCGUUAAUCAGAAUUACUGGGCGUAAAGCGUACGUAGGCGGUUUGUUAAGUUAGAUGUGAAAGCCCCGGGCUUAACCUGGGAACUGCAUUUAAAACUGGCAGACUAGAGUUUGAUAGAGGAGAGUGGAAUUUCAGGUGUAGCGGUGAAAUGCGUAGAGAUCUGAAGGAACAUCAGUGGCGAAGGCGACUCUCUGGAUUAAAACUGACGCUGAGGUACGAAAGCGUGGGUAGCAAACGGGAUUAGAAACCCUAGUAGUCC
rnacentral:rRNA from 1 species